GACGUAGGAGGCGAGCGUUGUCCGGAUUUACUGGGCGUAAAGCGCGCGCAGGCGGUCACGCAGGUCAUCUGUGAAAGCACCCGGCUCAACCGGGUUGUUGCGGGUGAAACCGCGUGACUUGAGGGUGGGAGAGGUCGGUGGAAUUCCCGGUGUAGUGGUGAAAUGCGUAGAUAUUGGGAAGAACACCUGAGGCGAAGGCGGGUUGCUGGGCCGACACUGACGCUGAGGCGCGAAAGCCAGGGGAGCAAACGGG
rnacentral:rRNA from 1 species